UACAGAGGGGGCAAGCGUUGUUCGGAAUUACUGGGCGUAAAGGGCGCGUAGGCGGCCUGCUAAGUCGAACGUGAAAUCCCCGAGCUCAACUCGGGAACUGCGUCCGAUACUGGCAGGCUUGAAUGCGGGAGAGGGAAGCGGAAUUCCUGGUGUAGAGGUGAAAUUCGUAGAUAUCAGGAGGAACACCGGUGGCGAAAGCGGCUUCCUGGCCCGACAUUGACGCUCAUGUACGAGAGCGUGGGGAGCAAACAGG
rnacentral:rRNA from 1 species